rnacentral:rRNA from 1 species
UACGAAGGGGGCUAGCGUUGCUCGGAAUCACUGGGCGUAAAGAGCGUGUAGGCGGCCACGCAGGUCCGUUGUGAAAACUGGAGGCUCAACCUCCAGCUGUCGACGGAAACCGUAUGGCUAGAGUCCGGAAGAGGAGAGUGGAAUUCCUGGUGUAGCGGUGAAAUGCGCAGAUAUCAGGAGGAACACCGGUGGCGAAGGCGGAUCUCUGGGCCUUACCUGACGCUCAGGCGCGAAAGCUAGGGGAGCGAACAGG